rnacentral:rRNA from 1 species
AUUCUGGCUCAGGAUGAACGCUGGCGGCGUGCUUAACACAUGCAAGUCGAACGGGAUCCAUCAGGCUUUGCUUGGUGGUGAGAGUGGCGAACGGGUGAGUAAUGCGUGACCGACCUGCCCCAUACACCGGAAUAGCUCCUGGAAACGGGUGGUAAUGCCGGAUGCUCCGACUCCUCGCAUGGGGUGUCGGGAAAGAUUAUAUCGGUAUGGGAUGGGGUCGCGUCCUAUCAGGUAGUCGGCGGGGUAACGGCCCACCGAGCCUACGACGGGUAGCCGGCCUGAGAGGGCGACCGGCCACAUUGGGACUGAGAUACGGCCCAGACUCCUACGGGAGGCAGCAGUGGGGAAUAUUGCACAAUGGGCGCAAGCCUGAUGCAGCGACGCCGCGUGCGGGAUGACGGCCUUCGGGUUGUAAACCGCUUUUGAUCGGGAGCAAGCCUUCGGGUGAGUGUACCUUUCGAAUAAGCACCGGCUAACUACGUGCCAGCAGCCGCGGUAAUACGUAGGGUGCAAGCGUUAUCCGGAAUUAUUGGGCGUAAAGGGCUCGUAGGCGGUUCGUCGCGUCCGGUGUGAAAGUCCAUCGCUUAACGGUGGAUCUGCGCCGGGUACGGGCGGGCUGGAGUGCGGUAGGGGAGACUGGAAUUCCCGGUGUAACGGUGGAAUGUGUAGAUAUCGGGAAGAACACCAAUGGCGAAGGCAGGUCUCUGGGCCGUUACUGACGCUGAGGAGCGAAAGCGUGGGGAGCGAACAGGAUUAGAUACCCUGGUAGUCCACGCCGUAAACGGUGGAUGCUGGAUGUGGGGCCCGUUCCACGGGUUCCGUGUCGGAGCUAACGCGUUAAGCAUCCCGCCUGGGGAGUACGGCCGCAAGGCUAAAACUCAAAGAAAUUGACGGGGGCCCGCACAAGCGGCGGAGCAUGCGGAUUAAUUCGAUGCAACGCGAAGAACCUUACCUGGGCUUGACAUGUUCCCGACAGCCGUAGAGAUAUGGCCUCCCUUCGGGGCGGGUUCACAGGUGGUGCAUGGUCGUCGUCAGCUCGUGUCGUGAGAUGUUGGGUUAAGUCCCGCAACGAGCGCAACCCUCGCCCUGUGUUGCCAGCACGUCAUGGUGGGAACUCACGGGGGACCGCCGGGGUCAACUCGGAGGAAGGUGGGGAUGACGUCAGAUCAUCAUGCCCCUUACGUCCAGGGCUUCACGCAUGCUACAAUGGCCGGUACAACGGGAUGCGACACGGCGACGUGGAGCGGAUCCCUGAAAACCGGUCUCAGUUCGGAUUGGAGUCUGCAACCCGACUCCAUGAAGGCGGAGUCGCUAGUAAUCGCGGAUCAGCAACGCCGCGGUGAAUGCGUUCCCGGGCCUUGUACACACCGCCCGUCAAGUCAUGAAAGUGGGUAGCACCCGAAGCCGGUGGCCUAACCCUUUGUGGAUGGAGCCGUCUAAGGUGAGACUCGUGAUUGGGACUAAGUCGUAACAAGGUAGCCGUACCGGAAGGUGCGGCUG